rnacentral:rRNA from 1 species
GUACGAUAAGUAAUGUGAAUUGCAGAAUCUCAUGAAUCAUCGAAUCUUUGAACGCAUAUUGCACCAUAUAGUAUUUCGUACAGCAUACCUAUCUGAGCGUCAGCUUCCCCAUACUCAAGUCUUUUAAUUGAAGCUUGGAUCACUUUAAAGAGGUGGCUGAAAUACAAUAGGCUACUCAUUAGAAAUUUAUAGGCAGUAUAGCACCUGAACCAGGUGUAAUAAGGAUAUAAAAGCAUCUCUCUUUAGGAAGGUUGUACUUGCCUUAACCCACUCAUUUUCUUCUGGGUGACCUCAGAUCAGGUAGGGAUACCCGCUGAACUUAA